rnacentral:lncRNA from 1 species
GAAUUUGUGGGUGAGUGGGGGAAUUUGGGAAUAAAACAUAGAGGAGAUUUAAAAAAAAAAAAAACGAUUUUUAUGAUUAUUAUUAUUAUUAUAAUUAUUUUUCUAACCUAACAAAAGUUAAUUAAUUAGCAGAGACAGGAAACCAAAUAUAAGAAGAUUCUUCCACUCGGGGGAUGGAAAACAAGUAAUCGGGGAAUUUGAAGAUAGCUUCAAUCAUUUACAAUUAUGACAUGACUUGAUAUCUUAUAUUAUAUUCUAGGAAUCGUAUAAAUGUCCAAAAUGUCAUGAUUUACUAAGCAAAAAAAAUAAUUGAGGAAACUAACAACAUGCACAAUGAAUCAAUGAUACACAAAUUGUUUAUUAAGCAAAGGUACUUAAUUAUGGAGAAAGUUUAAAUAUUGAAAGUAGGUUGUACGGUUUGAAAAGAACAUGACUCGUGCUCUUAUCUAAAAUUAGGGACAAUGAAAAAUAAUCUACCUAGAAUUCACCAUAUUCGAUCAAUCGACCAACUACAUAUCCGAGCCAAAUGUUUAUCCACAAAAAAGUCUAUAGUUAUGGUUGAUUUUUCUUUCUUUCUUUUUUUAUUAAUUUUACUAUUUUAUCUUUCAAUUUGUUUGAUUUUAAUCAAUCGAUGGAUUGAAACAAGAGAUUUGAGAAAUUUUCUGUAUAUUAUUCAUCUAAAUCCAUUCUCUUAUAUAGAGAGAGGAAAAGCUUUACAUGGAAGUACAGGAUUAUAUCCUGUUAUACAAAGAAAUAAAUAAUACUAUCCUAAUAAGAAAGUAAUAUACAUAGUAAUAUAUAUAUAUUAUAUAUGGUAACAUAUAUAAUAUAUAUAUGGUAUGUAAUAUAUAUGGUAACACCCCUCCGCAAACUCAAGGUGGGUUAAACACCGAGAGUUUGGAUAAAAGAAAAUGAUGACGUUGUGUGGUAUGAGACUUUGUGAAGAAGUCGGCAAGCUGAAGACGAGAAGAUAUAAACGGUAAGGCCAGUGUGCCAUUAAGAAAAUGAUGCCGAACGAAGUGACAAUCAAUUUCAAUAUGUUUAGUGCGUUCAUGAAAUACCGGAUUAUUAGCAAUCUUGAUGGCACUUUGAUUGUCACAAUACAGAGGUGUCGGAGUAGAGCAAGUAAUGCCAAUAUCACCAAGAAGACGACGAAGCCAAACAAUCUCAGAUGCUGUAGCAGACAUAGCACGAUACUCAGCUUCGGCACUAGAUUUGGAGACAAUAUUCUGUUUCUUAGCUCGCCAGGAAAUAAGCGAAUCACCAAGAAAGAUGCAAUAACCCGUGGUGGAUCGACGAUCAGUAUGGUCCCCAGCCCAAUCAGCGUCAGAAUAAGCUCGAAGUGCAAGUUCCGAGGUAGAAGAAAAGAAAAGACUCUGGUUAAUAGUGCCACGAAGAUAGCGGAGAAUGCGAAGAACAGCAGCAUAGUGAACAGAAGUUGGUUCCUGAACAAAUUGGCUUACUAUGUGGACAGCAUAAGCAAUAUCUGGACGAGAGAUAGUGAGAUAAAUAAGAGCUCCAACUAACUCCCGAUAGCGCGUGGGAUUUGAAAGUGGCUCACCCAUGGUAGGAGUCAGUUUUUGAUGAAGUUGCAUAGGAGUAUUGACUGUGUCAUUGUCAGUAAUACCAGCACGAGAGAUGAGAUCCGCUGUGUACUUCCGUUGAGAUAGCAAAUAGCCUUUAGAACCGUAGGCUACUUCAAUACCUAGAAAAUAACGGAGAAGCCCGAGAUCCUUCAUUUCAAAUUGACGUUGAAAGAAAGCUUUGAUAAAAUGUAUAAAAUCGGGAUCAUCACCAGUGAUAAUCAUAUCAUCAACAUAGAGAAGUAAAACAGUAGUACCACGAGCAGAAGAGUGAAUGAAUAAUGCAUGAUCAUUUUCACUCUGACGAAAACCAGCAGAGAUAACGGCAGUCGAGAACUUCUCAAACCAAGCACGAGGAGCUUGUUUAAGACCAUACAACGCCUUGCGAAGUAAGCAGACAUGACCAGGCGGAUGAUUAAGACCAGGAGGUGGCUCCAUGUAAACUUCUUCGUGAAGAUCACCAUGUAAAAAAGCAUUCUUAACAUCAAGUUGAUAUAACGGCCAACCACGAGAGGCAGCAACAGCAAUAAGAACGCGAACAGAGGUCAUUUUGGCAACCGGAGCAAAUGUCUCCUCGUAAUCGAUGCCAUACUCUUGAGUAAAGCCGCGAGCAACCAAGCGAGCCUUAUAUCGAUCAAUAGAACCAUCAGACUUCGUCUUAACUUUGUAGAUCCAUUUGCAACUGAUUGGAACCUUUCCUGGAGGAAGAGGAACAAGCGUCCAGGUACCGGUGUUGUGAAGAGCCUUAAGUUCGUCAGACAUAGCAUCUUGCCACUCAGGAAUGGUAGCAGCUUGGCGGUAUGUUCGUGGUUCCUGGUGAGUAUGGAUGGUAGCAAGAAAAGAAUGGAAAUGGGGAGAAAGAGAAUGUGAGGUAACACAACCAAAGAACCUUUUGGGCUGGCGCUCUCGAAGGGGAUAGCGACGCACGGAUGUCGGAGGAUCGUCGGUUGGAGCUUCGACAGAAGGACCAUCAUGAGAGGCAUGAACUUCACUUUCAUCUGCAGGAGAGGUAUUAGGAGAGAUAGAGUCCUCAGGAAAAGAGGAAUGCUCUGGAAAAGAAUCAUGCAAAAAGGAAAGAUCGAUAGGGGCAGAUGAAGAAGAUGCAGUGGCUGGUGUGGGUUGGGCAUAAUAGAGAAGAUGCUCAAAGAAAAUCACAUCACGAGAAAUCCGAAGACGUCUCGUGUUAGGAUCAUAGCAACGAUACCCUUUAUGCUCAAGACUAUACCCUAGAAAGAUACAAAUAGCAGAUUUAGGAGACAGUUUAUUUCGUUCGUGAGGAGGUAGCAAAACAAGGCAAGUGCAACCGAAGACUCGUAGAUGAUCAUAUGAAGGAGGCUUGGCAAACAACCGCUCACUAGGAGAGACACCUGAAAGGACACUGGAAGGCAUAAUGUUGAUUAAGUAAACAGCUGUAUUGACAGCAUCAGCCCAAAAUUGUGAAGGAACAGAACUAUCAAAAAGAAGAGACCGAGCAGUAUCCAUGAUAUGACGAUGCUUUCUUUCAGCAACCCCAUUUUGUUGAUGAGCAUAUGGGCAAGAAAGCUGAGGUAAGGUGCCUUGACUUGCAAGAAUUUGUCUGAAUUCAGAAGAGAUAUAUUCACCACCAGAGUCUGAACGAAAAAUUUUAAUAUUUGUGCCAAAUUGAUUUUGAAUCAUAACUGUAAAAUUUUUAUAUAUUUGCAAUAGUUCAGACCGGUUGUUCAUAAAAUAUAUCCAGGUAAAACGAGAAUAGUCAUCCACAAAGAUCACAUAGUAUCGAUUACCAAUACGUGUAGAAAUAGGAGCAGGACCCCAAACAUCAGAAUGAAUUAAAUCAAAAGCAGCAUGAGAGACAGAGUUACUAGCAGGAAAAGGUUGAGUAGUAUGUUUAGCAAGUUUGCAACCCAUACAACUAAGAUUAUUGGAAACAGAAAAUUUGCCUAAUACACCACGACGAACUAAAACAUUAAGAUGUUCGAAAGAAAGGUGACCUAAGCGACGAUGCCAUAAAGUAGAGCUAGAGAUGGUUGAAGUAGUGGUGGCGUUAACAGAGUUAUGGUUGGAUGGUAGAUGCAGAUGAUCCAUGUAGUACAAGCCAUCACGCCUAUGGCCCUGUCCAAUCAAAGUCCCUGUUCGACGAUCCUGAACACGACAAGAAGAUGAGUCAAAUGUAACUGUACAAUCAUGAUCAGUAAUUUGGCUAACAGAUAAAAGAUUUAAAGAAAGUUUUGGUAUGUGUAAAACAGAGGGCACAUAAAAUUUGGCAGAAUUACCAAUGGUAGGUGAUAAUGUACCAUAAUGAGUAACAGGAAGUGGUGUACCAUCAGCAGUAAAAAUAUUGAGCGGAGAAGACAAUAGGGAAGGUGAAGAAAGUAAUGAAUCAUGUGGAGUCAUAUGAAAAGAAGCACCUGAGUCUAGAACCCAGGAAUUCUUAGAAUUACCUCCAAAGCUAGGUGUUGAAAGGGAACCAAAACCUGGUGGUGCUGAUGAUGUCUGAGGACUGGAUUCUGGCUCUUUUGGAGUCGAGUUAUUCAGAUUGCUCUGUUGAAGUAGCUGCAUUAGUUGAGGCCAGCUGAGUUGAGUAGAAGCAGUGUGAUGUCCUACGUUGUUAGAAGAAGUAUUGAAAGGAUGCUCGAUCUGCAAAGUAGAAGCAGCAGCAGGAUAACCACGUGGAGAAUGUCGUUGUUGAUCAGCCCACUUCUUUUUCCUGCAAUCUUGAAUAUGAUGCCCCCAGAGUUGGCAAUAUUUGCAUUGGAUAUUGCGUUUGUUCUUUCGAGGAACAAACGAAUUAGUAGAACUCAAAGGCUCAGGAGGAACUUGAUUGGGAGCAGCAAGUACAGUCGGUGUUGAAGGACUGGAGGAAUGCAAUACUCGAAGACGAGUUUCCUCUGCAAUAAGCUCUGCAAGUGCAGCAUCAAUGGUGGGUAGCGGAGAUCGAUGAAGAAGUUGGCCUCGUAAGGCCUCGAACUCUGGCCGUAGACGCAUAAUAAAUUGAAAAAGACGCUGUUGAUCACGAAUUUGCGUUUGUUUGGUAGCACAAGUGCAAGCCAAACAAGUCUGGCAUAAUGAUUCGUCCAUGAUGGAUAGUUGGCGCCACCGUGCUUGCAUAAAGCUAUAGAACUCCUGAAUGGAGCGUUCACCUUGAUGGGCCGAUGUGAUCUCUUGGAAUUCAGCAUAUGAUUGAGCAUGGCUAGAUUGCUCAUAUAGUUUUUGAAGAUGAGCCCACAUUUGCUGAGCUGUAGUGAAACUCACCAACUGCAUUCUGAUGUCAAUUUCUACAGACGUGGAUAUAAUUCCACGAGUACGUCUGUCAGCAUUAUUCCACUCUUUGAGUUUCUUCUCAUCAGCAGGAGGGCUAGUGUCAUUAAUAUGAUCUGUUAAGUCUAGGGCAUCAAGUAAAAGUUUUACAGACACCGACCACUCCCGGUAAUUAGAACCAGAUAAUUUGACAUCUAGUUGAGGAAAUUGAUUGGUAGAAGAUGUCAUAACUUAAAUAAAUAAAGAGAAGAGAUAGAAUGGACAAAUCUGAAGAAGUGGCUUGCUAGAGACUCCUAGCAACUUGGUCAGACGUAUGUCGAGAUAUGAUGCGCAGCCACACAGACGUGAUGAUGACAAUCGCAGCCCCAGUUAACCACUAGGAUAGGAUCGUGUCGUCCUCGGACGUGGUGCUGAUCUGGACGAACAAUUCGCCUUCUGAGGAGAUGAGCAAAAGUCGUCGAAAGAGAAUAAAACCCUAGAAGGGCUCUGAUACCAUGAAACAAGAGAUUUGAGAAAUUUUCUGUAUAUUAUUCAUCUAAAUCCAUUCUCUUAUAUAGAGAGAGGAAAAGCUUUACAUGGAAGUACAGGAUUAUAUCCUGUUAUACAAAGAAAUAAAUAAUACUAUCCUAAUAAGAAAGUAAUAUACAUAGUAAUAUAUAUAUAUUAUAUAUGGUAACAUAUAUAAUAUAUAUAUGGUAUGUAAUAUAUAUGGUAACAUGGAUAAAUUUAAAUUCAGUACUUAAUUUAAUAAAUUUACCGAAGUUGUAAAAAUAAAUCACACAUCUAGAAUUUAAAGUUAAGGUAUCGUUGACUUACUCAAAUCAAAUAAAUUGAAAAGUUGAAUAAUAAAAUUAAAAAUUUGAAAGAUUGAAUAGCCGAAACUCAAAAUAAUUUAUAAUUCAGAUAAAUUUUAUAUUUUUUUUAUCUUAAAUUUUCAAACAAAU